UCCAAAGCAACACCAGCUGAUGCGAUCCACCCCAACAAACAUUAGCUAACUAUUCCAAUAUGUUCUGUGUGGGGUGUAGCCUAAACCAGAAAAUGAUGCAAAAUAAUGCAUCCCACCUCCCAGGCAACAACCAUGGCCAAAUUGGUGCACGAUUUAUGUACCAAUAGCUGUAGUAGCCCAAGGAGCACUCAGAACGAUCCCAAACCAGAGAUGGCCUGGCUUAGGAGAGGUAGUGUUGCUUGGCUGCAAACGGAGCCAAAUCUUUGGUAUUUUCCAUUUGUCUCAGCCUCCAGGAUGUGAAGCCUUCCCUGGCCCUUGGGUAGAGAAUGCAGCCUGACAACACUGCUGCCUGGUAAGAAGACAGAGAAAUUGUUCUGGAUGGCUCAGACACCAUGACCACUGCUCAGAAGAAAACCCAACCAACUAGCAAAAUUCCAGAAGUAACAGUAUCCCACAUAAACCAAGGAAGGACUUGGAUAACUGCAGGGUUGAGCUAUUACUUUUCAGCUCAGAAUUAAAAUUUCUUAUUGAAUACUUUCAGGACAGAAAAAAAAAAUGCAAUGGUAAUCUAGAGAGGUUGGAUAAAGUUAAGCUUUUAUUUUCAGCUCUCCCAACUAUAUUCUGUUAACCAUCGUCUUGGUAAUGAUGUACUGUUACACAAGUUACAGUGAUUUCAAACCUGUGGCUCUCAAAUGGUGGGUAAAAACAUGACAGGGCCUGAGCUUUUCCUCUCUUCCCACUCUUUCUGCCACAUGAGUUAUGACUAUCCAGGGAGCAGCAGAAGAAGGC
rnacentral:lncRNA from 1 species